UACGGAAGGCAGCAGUGGGGAAUAUUGCACAAUGGGCGCAAGCCUGAUGCAGCCAUGCCGCGUGUAUGAAGAAGGCCUUCGGGUUGUAAAGUACUUUCAGCGGGGAGGAAGGGAGUAAAGUUAAUACCUUUGCUCAUUGACGUUACCCGCAGAAGAAGCACCGGCUAACUCCGUGCCAGCAGCCGCGGUAAUACGGAGGUGCAAGCGUUAAUCGGAAUUACUGGGCGUAAAGCGCACGCAGGCGGUUUUGUUAAGUCAGAUGUGAAAUCCCCGGGCUCAACCUGGGAACUGCAUCUGAUACUGGCAAGCUUGAGUCUCGUAGAGGGGGUGAAUUCCAGGUGUAGCGGUGAAAUGCGUAGAGAUCUGGAGGAAUACCGGUGGCGAAGGCGGCCCCUGGGACGAAGACUGACGCUCAGGUGCGAAAGCGUGGGGAGCAAACGAGGAUUAGGAUACC
rnacentral:rRNA from 1 species